rnacentral:rRNA from 1 species
UGCCAGCCGCCGCGGUAAUACGGAGGGUGCGAGCGUUAAUCGGAAUUACUGGGCGUAAAGCGCGCGUAGGCGGUUGUUUAAGUCGGAUGUGAAAGCCCCGGGCUCAACCUGGGAAUUGCAUUCGAUACUGGGUAACUAGAGUACGAGAGAGGGAGGUAGAAUUCCAUGUGUAGCGGUGAAAUGCGUAGAUAUGUGGAGGAAUACCGGUGGCGAAGGCGGCCUCCUGGCUCGAUACUGACGCUGAGGUGCGAAGGCGUGGGUAGCGAACAGGAUUAGAUA